rnacentral:rRNA from 1 species
UGGCGGCAGGCCUAACACAUGCAAGUCGAGCGGUAACAGUUUCUAGCUUGCUAGAAGAUGACGAGCGGCGGACGGGUGAGUAACGCGUAGAAAUCUACCUAGUAGUGGGGGAUAGCCCAGAGAAAUUUGGAUUAAUACCGCAUACGCCCUACGGGGGAAAGCGGGGGAGUCUUCGGACCUCGUGCUAUUAGAUGAGUCUGCGUCGGAUUAGCUUGUUGGUGAGGUAAUGGCUCACCAAGGCGACGAUCCGUAGCUGGUCUGAGAGGAUGACCAGCCACACUGGAACUGAGACACGGUCCAGACUCCUACGGGAGGCAGCAGUGGGGAAUAUUGCACAAUGGGCGCAAGCCUGAUGCAGCCAUGCCGCGUGUGUGAAGAAGGCCUUAGGGUUGUAAAGCACUUUCAGCAGUGAGGAAAGGGGUGUCGUUAAUAGCGCCAUCCUGUGACGUUAACUGCAGAAGAAGGACCGGCUAACUCCGUG